rnacentral:lncRNA from 1 species
UAGAGUGCAAUGGUGAGAUUAUAGCUCACUGCAAUCUCCAGCUCCUGGGCUCAUGUGAUCCACCCACCUUAGCCUCCCCAAGUAGCUGGGUUUAUUCUAACAAGUGUGUGCCACCAUACCCAGCUAUUUUUUUUUUUCUAGAUAUCGGGUCUCACUAUGUUGCACAGGCUGGUCUCAAACUCCUGGGCUCAAGUGAUCCUCCCACCUCAGCCUUCCAAAGUGCAGGGAUUACAGGCAUGAGCCACUGUGCUCAGCCCCAUCCAUUCCUGCCAGUGCAGCUGGAGGAAUCUAUUCAAACCAGAAAUCUGAGCACAUCACUCAUUUGUUUUAGCUCUCUGUGGAUAAAAGCCAAAUCCCUAAUACAUUCUGGAAGGUUUCUAGUUAAACUGCACAUCUACUAUCUGCCUGGCUCUGCCCACAUUCUGCUUCCCCUCCUGCUACCAUAGAUGAGCUCCCGGCCCUUUGCUGAGGCCGAUGCCUCCAUCCCUGCUCUGUUCCACCCCCCUCCUUCCUGAGGACCUAGUUCCUUUCUCAUUUUUCUCUCUCUCUUGCCCAAUCAACACACACUCCAUGCUACAUUACUUUCCUGAGUGUCUCGCCCAAGUCUAUCAAAUCUAUGUCUUGAAACACCUUCCUCACGCAACCUCCACCUCCUGGGUUCAAGCAAUUCUCCUGCCUCAGCCUCAUGAGUAGCUUGGACUACAGGCAUGCACCACCUUGCCCAGCUAAUUUUUGUAUUUUUAGUAGAGACAGGGUUUCACCAUGUUGGCCAGGCUGGUCUUGAACUCCUAGCCUCAAGUGAUCCACCCACCUCAGCCUCCCAAAGUGCUGGGAUCACGGGUGAGAACCCCAUGCCCGGCCCCUCACUUAAGCUUCUAAGACAUCAAUGCUCCUGGUUAUCCUCACACUUUUCCAAACGUUUGUUCCUUUUGUGGGAUGUACAAAAAGAGCUAAGUCUCAAAAUAUUAUUAUACACAUUCCAACAAAUGGAAAAUGUAAUCUUAUUAAAUUCCUGUGAGAAAUAUCCCAGCACAGAAACUAUGAUUUCUUGCCAUUUUGAUGCUGGUAUUAGCUAACAGAAAGGUGCCUACUCAUGGAAUCUGCUUCAAAUCAGAUAAAAGAACAAUGUGUAUAGGUUACCACACCCACCACUGUGACACGAGAGUAAGACAUCAGAAUGCAACCCCACAGAUGCUCCCAGAACAUUCCACAGGCUGCAGGUAAACCCUUUGGAUCUGGCUCCUGGACUUACUACACGUGGGUGUACAAUUACUACAAAAGUCUGAGUAGUACAUCUCCUCAAAACAGCACAGAAGCUAGUGUGGAAAACAGUGGAACACUGUCUGGCACUAGAGAAUAAAGAGGACAGAAGAAAAAAAAAGCCUCGACAUGAUCUUUGUGUCCCCUAAUAUCAUACAUCUUCUCUCUUUGCUUAGUUAAGGAGGGAAGGAAGGGAGAAAGAAAGGGAGGGACAAGACCACCUAUUCUUCCCUGGAGCAGAAAAGAAAGCUAUCAAUAAUAAGAGAAACUACACCUUACUGAGGUUUCCUUGAUGUCAGGGAUUCUUCUUCUUAUUAUUUUUUUUUUCAGACAGAGUCUUGCUCUGCUGCCUAGGCUGGAGUGCAGUGACGUGAUCUUGGCUCACCGCAGCCUCCACCUCCCAGGUUCAAGUGAUUCUCCCACUCAGCCUCCUGAGUAGCUGGGAUUACAGGUGCCUGCCACCACACCCAGCUAAUUUUUUUAUUUUUAGUAGAGAUGGGGUUUCACCAUAUUGGCCAGGCUGGUCUCGAACUCCUGACCUCAGGUGAUCCACCUGCCUCGGCCUCCCAAAGUGCUGGGAUUACAGGCAUGAGCCACUGUGCCCAGCCUAGUGUCUGGGAUGCUUCUUCAGAUAGAUACUUUCUUUUUUUUGAGACAGGGUCUUGCUCUGUUGCCCAAGUUGAAGUGAAGUGGUACAAGCACAGCUCACUGCAGCCUCGACCUCCCAGGCUCAUGUGAUCCUCCCUCCUCAGUCUCCUGAGUAGCUGGGACUACAGGCAUACGCCAUCUUGUCCAGCUAAUUUUUAUUUUUUAUUUUUUUGUAGAGAUGGAGUCCCACUAUAUUUCCCAGG